UCAUCAUGGUGUUCACAUAGUCACAUAAUAUCCAACAAAUGCUAUUCUCAUGAAUGAUCAAUUAGCUAAGGAUAGAUAUAACCAUAGGUUUAUGGAUUCCUUCCUCACCAGAUAAGGUGUUUCACUUAAGCACUCAAAAGUAUUUCACUCAAAGGUGUAUAAAGGUCACUCCUUCCCUCUACUAUCAAUAUGUCACAUAGAACAAAAUUGCCUUUCAUUUACCAGAAUCAAACAUUCUCACACACACAUGUCAUCACAAGGACUUUUUCAUGGUUUAUAAUGAGGCUGGGCUAAUAAAAAAAAUUGGCUUUUCUAGGUCACAAAAUCCUUGAGUUAAGAAAGUUAUUCAACAUUCAUCAUUCAAGCACAAACUCUCAUUAAGCAACCAAUCUCACUCACUCCCAACUUUCCCCUUUUUGCAUUGAGCUUAUCUUUCAUUCUAUCUUUUCCACCUUUUUCUAUCUUUUCAUCUUUUUCAUGCUUUGCUCAACACUUUAGCUCAAUGCUUAUCUUCUCUUUUUCAAUCUUCCCAACAACCCCAAACUUGAACCUU
rnacentral:lncRNA from 1 species